GCGGACGUGGCGAAAUGGUAGACGCAGCAGACUUAAAAUCUGCCUCUCCCUGAGAGUACGGGUUCGAGUCCCGUCGUCCGCACCA
rnacentral:tRNA from 1 species